rnacentral:rRNA from 1 species
UACGUAGGGUGCGAGCGUUAAUCGGAAUUACUGGGCGUAAAGCGUGCGUAGGCGGUUCGUUAUGUCUGCUGUGAAAGCCCCGGGCUUAACCUGGGAAUGGCAAUGGAAACUGGCGGGCUUGAGUGUGGCAGAGGGGGGUGGAAUUCCGCGUGUAGCAGUGAAAUGCGUAGAGAUGCGGAGGAACACCGAUGGCGAAGGCAGCCCCCUGGGCUGACACUGACGCUGAGGCACGAAAGCGUGGGGAGCAAACAGG